rnacentral:rRNA from 1 species
GAUGAACGCUAGCGGCAGGCCUACCACAUGCAAGUCGAGGGGCAGCACAGAAACAGCAAUGUUUUGGUGGCGACCGGCGGACGGGUGCGUAACGCGUAUGCAACCUACCUUUAACAGGGGGAUAACGGAGAGAAAUUUCCACUAAUACCCCAUAACAUCGAUCAAGGCAUCUUGAUUGGUUGAAAACUCCGGUGGUUAAAGAUGGGCAUGCGUUGUAUUAGUUAGUUGGUGAGGUAAUGGCUCACCAAGCCUACGAUACAUAGGGGUAAUGAGAGGUUAGCCCCACACACUGGUACGGAGACACGGACCAGACGCCUACGGGAGGCAGCAGUGAGGAAUAUUGGUCAAUGGGGGCAACCCUGAACCAGCCAUGCCGCGUGCAGGAAGACGGCUCUAUGAGUUGUAAACUGCUUUUAAACAGGGAUAAAGCACAGUAUGUAUACUGUGUUGAAGGUACUGUAAGAAUAAGGAUCGGCUAACUCCGUGCCAGCCGCCGCCGUAA